CUGGGCUCGAAUCCCAGCAGCCACACAUUAUUUUUUGGUUUUUCUUCUUGCAGUGUUCCGGGGGGGUGCGACCCGGCCGAUUUUCGGUACUCUUAACCUCCUAACUUGUUUGCCAGGGGAAACUUUUCGCCUUUUCUUAUUCAGUUUCAACUUCUCGUAUUAGCGAGGUUAGUGAGGCUCAUGGUUUGAAACUCAGACUCACAGUCUCCAGUUCAAGAAGGCCUGGCAUUAACUUGGGUUUGGUUGUGACGGCAGACCCGGCUUAAGGAGGUCAUUCGUUUUCCAUCAGCGGAAAUUUCGCACAAAUUCACAUGGCACGAUGGAUUCUGUCUCGUGAUGAGCUCUUUCACUGUGUCCUUCAUCACAAUUGUCUCCUUCAUCAAACUGUCGAUGCAGAACCCGAGGCCACCGAGGCUCAGAGCCGUCUGGCUCUUGACCUCCUCCUCACCUUCAUCAGCAUAGAUACAUUGGAUCGCUCCGUUCAAUUGGCGGAGAAAAGAAUUGGAGAUCUUAUCGACGUCUUCCUUCGCUAUACAAUAAGGAGGCACUCCAAAGUGGAUCCGACUCUUUCUGUGAAGGGCUCGACGCCAUCCUUUAACAGGUCUGCGAUGUCCUUCCACGGGAAACCGAUGCUCCAGCAUAGAUGCUUGAGAGUAUCCAUCUGGAUAGCGAGGAAUUGCAGG